UCAGGCGUCAAUGCAGUCAGUAUAAUUACGAUGCGCAUGACUCAAAAAAAUCUAUAUAUAGAUAUUUAUGCAUUUAUAUAAAUACAAAUGAUGAAAUAUUUAUUUGUAUAGUACAUGGAGAUCAAUUGAAAGAAAGAAAAAAUGUCAAAAUUACUUAUGAUCGUUAUUAUUGGAUGUAUGAUCGGAAUCAUUUCCUGUGAUCGUAUGCUAGUUGAUGAAGAGUCACCAGGAUCUUGCACUCUCAUCGGACAUUGUUUUUUUGAUGGGGAUUGUUGCGAGAAUUAUGUUUGUAAAAGAGUUAAAAAUGAAGACAUUUGCGUCAGACAACGAUACCGAUAAAAAUAAAUUCAUUUUUUAACUGAUUUUGUGUUUGAAAAUAAAUAUUUUUGAAAUUUUUCAGUCUGUGUUUUGAGAAAAAUAAAAAUUUUGGAGGUCUGAUUACUGUAGAAAUAUCUACUAAUUUUGUCGUCAAAAUUUGAAAGUUCGCGGGCCUGUCGAUAGAAAAUAUUUGAAAUUUAAAAUAAAAAGUAAAAAAUAAUAAUUUAAUUGUGUAAAUAAAAUUUCUAAAAUAAAUAAAUUUGAGUUG